rnacentral:piRNA from 1 species
CAGAUGGUAUGAAUGGAAUGUCCCUA